UGAGGAAUAUUGGUCAAUGGGCGAGAGCCUGAACCAGCCAAGUCGCGUGAAGGAAGACAGUCCUAAGGAUUGUAAACUUCUUUUAUACGGGAAUAACGGGCGAUACGAGUAUUGCAUUGAAUGUACCGUAAGAAUAAGCAUCGGCUAACUCCGUGCCAGCAGCCGCGGUAAUACGAAGGAUGCGAGCGUUAUCCGGAUUUAUUGGGUUUAAAGGGUGCGUAGGUUGUUCGGUAAGUCAGCGGUGAAACCUGAGCGCUCAACGUUCAGCCUGCCGUUGAAACUGCCGGGCUUGAGUUCAGUGGCGGCAGGCGGAAUUCGUGGUGUAGCGGUGAAAUGCAUAGAUAUCACGAGGAACUCCGAUUGCGAAGGCAGCUUGCCAUACUGCGACUGACACUGAAGCACGAAGGCGUGGGUAUCAAACAGG
rnacentral:rRNA from 1 species